rnacentral:rRNA from 1 species
AUUGAACGCUAGCGGGAUGCCUAACACAUGCAAGUCGAACGAGUGGCGGACGGGUGAGUAAUAUAUCGGAACGUGCCUAGGAGCGGGGGAUAACUACUCGAAAGAGUGGCUAAUACCGCACACUAUUGGAGCGGCCGAUAUCGGAUGAGCUAGUUGGUGGGGUAAAGGCUAACCAAGGCAACGAUCCGUAGCUGGUUUGAGAUGGAGACCAGCCACACUGGGACUGAGACACGGCCCAGACUCCUACGGUAGGCAGCAGUAGGGAAUUUUGGACAAUGGGCGAAACCCUGAUCCAGCCAUCCCGCGUGUAUGAGAAGGCCUUCGGGUUGUAAAGUUCUUUUGGCAGAGAAGCGGUAUCUAACGAAAAAGCAACGGCUAACUACGUGCCAGCAGCCGCGGUAAUAC